AGAACGAACGCUGGCGGCAGGCUUAACACAUGCAAGUCGAGCGCCCCCGCGAGGGGGAGCGGCAGACGGGUGAGUAACGCGUGGGGAUGUACCCAGAGGUGCGGAAUAACUCAGGGAAACUUGAGCUAAUACCGCAUGAGCCCGAGAGGGGAAAGAUUUAUCGCCUUUGGAUCAACCCGCGUCAGAUUAGCUAGUUGGUAGGGUAAUGGCCUACCAAGGCGACGAUCUGUAGCUGGUCUGAGAGGAUGAUCAGCCACACUGGGACUGAGACACGGCCCAGACUCCUACGGGAGGCAGCAGUGGGAAUAUUGGACAAUGGGCGCAAGCCUGAUCCAGCCAUGCCGCGUGAGUGAUGACGGCCUUAGGGUUGUAAAGCUCUUUCGCACGCGACGAUAAUGACGGUAGCGUGAGAAGACGCCCGGCUAACUUCGUGCCAGCAGCCGC
rnacentral:rRNA from 1 species